UGCUGAUGUUUGUGUUCUCUUGGUGA
rnacentral:piRNA from 1 species